UACGUAGGGGGCAAGCGUUGCUCGGAAUCACUGGGCGUAAAGCGCACGUAGGCGGAUUGUUAAGUCAGGGGUGAAAUCCUGGAGCUCAACUCCAGAACUGCCUUUGAUACUGGCGAUCUCGAGUCCGGGAGAGGUGAGUGGAACUGCGAGUGUAGAGGUGAAAUUCGUAGAUAUUCGGAAGAACACCAGUGGCGAAGGCGACUUACUGGACGACUGUUGACGCUGAGGUGCGAAAGCGUGGGGAGCAAACAGG
rnacentral:rRNA from 1 species